ncrna:unclassified sequences M23 RNA
CGGUGGCCGCAGACCGGUUCCUCUGCGGCAGGCGGCCCAGCGGCCGCAGGAAGGG